rnacentral:tRNA from 1 species
GCGCCCAUAGCGCAGCGGAUAGAGCACUGGUCUUCGGAACCAGCGGUCGGGGGUUCGAAUCCCUCUGGGCGCG